rnacentral:rRNA from 1 species
UACGAAGGAGCGAGCGUUGUUCGGAAUCACUGGGCGUAAAGGGCGCGUAGGCGGCUUUAUAAGUCGGGGGUGAAAGCCUGUGGCUCAACCACAGAAUUGCCUUCGAUACUGUAGAGCUUGAGACCGGAAGAGGUAAGUGGAACUGCGAGUGUAGAGGUGAAAUUCGUAGAUAUUCGCAAGAACACCAGUGGCGAAGGCGGCUUACUGGUCCGGUUCUGACGCUGAGGCGCGAAAAGCGUGGGGAGCAAACAGG